rnacentral:rRNA from 1 species
AACAACUCACCUGCCGAAUGAAUUAGCCCUGAAAAUGGAUGGCGCUUAAGCGGGUGACCGACACCAUGCCGUCUGAAUGAUAAAUUUCAGAUGAGUAGGAGGACGUGGUGAUCGUGACGAAGUAUGCGUGCGAACGCGUAUCGAACGAUCACUAGUGCAGAUCUUGGUGGUAGUAGCAAAUAUUCAAGCGAGAUCCUUGAAGGGCGAAGUGGGGAAGGGUUCCACGCUAACAUUGAUUGGGCGUGGGUGAGUCGUUCCUAAGCCGAGUGGCAAUUGCUAAGUAGCGGCGAAAGGGAAGCGGGUUUACAUUCCCGCACACGGAUGUGGAGGCGGUGACGCUUUAUUGGGGCGAACACGCUGGCGAUGGCGCUGGGCAGAGUUGUCUUUUCUGUUUGACCGUUUGCGCAUGCGGUGUGGAGUCCGCUUGUCGGGAGAAACACGCAUACGCGGGCAGAGCGCCGGGGCUUAUCCGGCGUCCAGCUCGCCAUCGACGGCCCUUGAAACUUUGCCUGCUGGUUUUAGAAUCCACGCCGUGGCGUACCGAUCACCGCAUCAGGUCCCCAAGGUGAACAGCCUCUGCUCAAUAUGAAAAAU